AAUGGAUGGCGCUUAAGUUGUAUACCUAUACAUUACCGCUAAAGUAGAUGAUUUAUAUUAUUUAUAAUAUAAAUUUUGAAACUUUAGUGAGUAGGAAGGUACAAUGGUGUGCUUAGAAGUGUUUGGCGUAAGCCUGCAUGGAGCCGCCAUUGGUACAGAUCUUGGUGGUAGUAGCAAAUAAUCGAAUGAGACCUUGGAGGACUGAAGUGGAGAAGGGUUUCGUGUGAACAGUGGUUGAUCACGAGUUAGUCGGUCCUAAGUUCAAGACGAAAGCCGAAAAUUUUCAAGUUUUAAAAAUGUCAAAUGAAAUAAUAAAUAAUAAAACACUUGAAUAAUUUUGAACGAAAGGGAAUACGGUUCCAAUUCCGUAACCUGUUGAGUAUCCGUUUGUUAUUAAAUAUGGGCCUCGUGCUCAUCCUGGCAACAGGAACGACCAUAAAGAAGCCGUCGAGAGGUAUCGGAAGAGUUUUCUUUUCUGUUUUAUAGCCGUACUACCAUGGAAGUCUUUCGCAGAGAGAUAUGGUAGAUGGGCUAGAAGAGCAUGACAUAUACUGUUGUGUCGAUAUUUUCUCCUCGGACCUUGAAAAUUUAUGGUGGGGAUACGCAAACUUCUCAACAGGCCGUACCAAUAUCCGCAGCUGGUCUCCAAGGUGAAGAGUCUCUAGUCGAUAGAAUAAUGUAGGUAAGGGAAGUCGGCAAAUUAGAUCCGUAACUUCGGGAUAAGGAUUGGCUCUGAAGAUUGAGAUAGUCGGGCUUGAUUGGGAAACAAUAACAUGGUUUAUGUGCUCGUUCUGGGUAAAUAGAGUUUCUAUCAUUUAUGAUAGUUAUUUGUUCCCCGGAUAGUUAGUUACGUAGCCAAUUGUGGAACUUUCUUGCUAAAAUUUUUAAGAAUACUAAUUUUUAAUUAGUUCUUUUAAAUUAUAACGAUUAUCAAUUAACAAUCAAUUCAGAACUGGCACGGACUUGGGGAAUCCGACUGUCUAAUUAAAACAAAGCAUUGUGAUGGCCCUAGCGGGUGUUGACACAAUGUGAUUUCUGCCCAGUGCUCUGAAUGUCAAAGUGAAGAAAUUCAAGUAAGCGC
rnacentral:ncRNA from 1 species